UACGGAGGGUGCAAGCGUUGCUCGGAAUUAUUGGGCGUAAAGGGUAGGUAGGUGGUCUUAUUUGUCUGGGGUGAAAGCCUUGAGCUUAACUCAAGAAGUGCCUUAGAAACGGUAAGACUAGAGUCCUGGAGAGGGUCGUGGAAUUCCCGGUGUAGCGGUGAAAUGCGUAGAGAUCGGGAGGAACACCAGAGGCGAAGGCGGCGGCCUGGACAGGAACUGACACUAAACUACGAAAGCGUGGGGAGCAAACAGG
rnacentral:rRNA from 1 species